AGUUCUUACCUAUUUUAAGUCUAAAUCAGUUUCCCUGUAACUUCUACCCUUCCAUUUGUCAUGCUUCUAACUCUAGAGACCAUAGAGAACAAUUCCCUUUUCAUUCGAUAAUCUUUCUGAUAUCCCAAGAAUAUUAGUCAAGGUUCAUUCUGGAGACAGAAACCACAUGAUAAUUUGAACAGGAAAAAUUUAAUCUAAAGAAUUAUUAACUAGUAACAGGAUUUGCCUACUACAGGGUAAAGAGAACUCUAAAGGUUACAGAAAAUAAACUUGGGAGAGCCCCUUCCCCAGCUAGAUCUGAGAUUCACACCUUACUAAUCACAUCCACUGGAUUAGUAAAGUUUACUGAGGUGCCACAGGCCAAACUUGACAAGCAGGAAACCCAGUCAUGCCCUCGUAUACACACAGAAUUCAACAGAAAUCUGCCCCAGGAGUGUUAUUGAACUUGCUGGGAAAC
rnacentral:lncRNA from 10 species